rnacentral:lncRNA from 1 species
CACGAGUCGAUUUUUCGGUGAUACAAACAUAAGUAAAUAAUACGUCUAUGAUUUGAAGUUUGUGGGCCUUGCAAUUGUGAAGUUUGAUUCGAUCAGAUAUUCAUUCAGAUUACAUGGAAAAUAUUUCUGGUUUUAUGGAGAAUAUAUCUGGAUAUGCGACUACAAUAAUGGUGGAAUCGUUUGACUAAAUGCAUGGAAAGACCUACUCUAUUUGGAUAUGCGACUACAAUAAUGAUGGUGGAAUUGUUUGCCUAAAUGCAUGGAAAGACCUAUUCUAUUUGGAGAUACGACUACAAUAAUAAUGGUGGAAUUUUUUGCCUAAAUGCAUGGAAAGACUCACUCUAUUUGGUGAUACGACUACAAUAAUGAUGGUGGAAAUAUUCGGCUAGAUGUGUAGAUUUAUCUGGAGACGAGACAAUGAAAAUAUUUGGCUGGAUAUGCAUCUAAAGUGUAUAUGAAGAAAAGGAAUGGCUGCUAGAAAUUACUACUGACUUCACGUGUUCCUUCUAGUACAAACUUCGUGGAAAUUUAUCUGCUACAUAUCUGUCUCAAUUGGAGCGUUCAGGUCUUCAAAAUUUAUAUUCAAUUAACUGGUUUCCUUGUAUUUUAUUGACUUGUUUCCUUGUAUCCUGCAUCUUCAUUACAAAUUUCAUUUGUUAUCUGUAAGAUGUUAUUUCUGAUACAAAUAUUUUCUAAGCUAAUUUCUCUUGCUUUUGAAAAGUAAAUUAACUAUUUAAAAAUUUGAUUGGUAAAAAUAUUCUGUUAAAAAAAUUAGAUUUUGGCUUUAAUAAACUUUUGCAUAAAUUUAAGGUAUUCAAGAAAGUUUUAGUCUUAAUGUUUUUUCCAAAGAUUUAGUUUUUGAAGCAUUCUGCGGUAACUUUCGAAAUUUCUGCCAAAAUUUUUUAGGUACGUUUCUGUUAAAUGCAAAGAAAUUAUCUGCUAUACUUCUAUCUUCCUCAGGCACACAGUUUUCCUGAACUAUUCUCGUCGUUUAACUUAAUUGUAUCACGCCAUUUAAAAGUAAAAAUAACUAAAUUAAUAAACUGCCGCCACCGUGAUACCACUAUUUUAAAACAUUUGUUCUUGACAUUUAACUUCCGUUAUGAAAAUAAUUUUAUUGGAAUAUUAGUUUUUAGUUUAUUCUUUUACGAGAGAUAAUUUGGUUCAUAUUAGCGUGAAGUAGAAUGGGUUUUUCGGUCAGGAUCUCCUAUACCAAAAAGAAAAGAAUUUGGUUUGUGCUAAGCGGAAUAAGGUGAAUAAAUCACAGAUGAAUAGAAAUGGACAUACUAUAGUUUCGAUACGGCAAAGAGUACUUAAGAAUGAUCUAAGCUUUAAAUUUUUUGAAAUUUAUAUUUGGAGCUUCUUAAAUUUCGGCUAAGUUUAAUUUUCAAAGAAACUGACGUUCUAACUUUUAAAAGGUGACUUAAGUACAAAACUCUUAAAUUAAAAACCAUUAUUGCUAUCUCUAAUAGCAUAAUUUAUAAACCUGUUUUACAGUAGUUCACAAACUAUUUAACUUUUGGCCUUCAUGCUCUGGAACAUUCAAAAAUAAAAUCUCUGUAAACACGUUCGCAUCUAGUUUCUUCUUCAUUGAUGUAUUAAGUUUUGUAAGUAAAUCUGUACACCAAAAUUAUGAGAAAUAAAAUAAAUUUCAAAAUAUCCUCAUUCGCACUUUUCACGGAUUCGUAACUUUGAAUCAAGCUAUACUGAAAUAAAUUUAAAAAAGGACAGUGAACACACACAAAUCUUAACGUGCGACAUUUUAAAUAAAAAUUGAGUACUUUAAUAAAUUUAAAUUAAAUUUUUAAAUACAUUGAAAAAGCAUAUAAUUUGUAUACUGUAACAUAAAUUCAAAACUAGUGUACAAAAUUAGAUUAGAGGCCAGGUAAAUUUUUGAAGAACAGAGGAGGGUAUUCAGACAGAAUAAAAUAGAGGGAGGUUUUACUCGCGAAACGGAGGUAUUAUGAAGGUGCUUAUUGAAUGGAGGGGAAAAAAGCUUCAAAUUCUAGGUUUCCUAAACUUACUAAUUAUAUAAAUGAGCAUAUUUUCACUGUUCUACAUACUUUAACUUGCAGUUAAAAUAAUUAAUAUACGAACUCUCGUGCAAAGGUUUAUAUAGACUUGGUGUAGUUAACGCUGAGCAUAAAAUUUAAAUAAAAUUUUUUGUCAAAGUAACUCCUUGUUUUUAUAUGAUUUGCUUAAAAGUCUGGAUAUUAUCUGGAUAAUUUGGAAAAGUUGUAGACAUUAACGUAUUAGGAGGGGGGAAUUUUCACAAAUUAAACUUUUUUAUGAUUGAGUUUUUUUGUUAAAGUAAAGGCCAUAGUGUUUUUAUAUUUAAAGAUAAAUAUUUUUGUUUGGCAAUUUUUCAUAAUUUUUUAGAACGUUUUAAUGUCACUUAUUUUUGCUGCUGAAGUAGCUAAAAUAAUCCCUAAUUUACUAAUCACUUA